UGGUGGCCCCUCCCGUGACUUGAACCGGGAACCUAACCAUUAUGAGUGAUUAGCUCUACCUAUUGAGCUAAGGGGCC
rnacentral:tRNA from 2 species